rnacentral:lncRNA from 1 species
AAAAGUGUUAUGCGCGAGGACGUUCAAAGCAUGCAAGCAACUACAUGUUGGCCUCGAUAUCAGAGUGGACAGGGAUUUAAACUCCCUUCCCAGCCACAAGCCAGAAUCUGCAGUGGGCAGCACCCCACCUUUCUAGGGGUCGGUACCCUUCCACAAUGCUUUCUUAGGGUGCACUUUUUUUUUAAAGAUUUUAUUUAUUUAUUCAUGAGAGACACACACAGAGAGAGAGGCAGAGACACAGGUAGAGGGAGAAGCAGGCUCCAUGCAGGGACUCGAUCCCAGGUUUCCAGGAUCACGCCCUGGGCUGAAGACGGUGCUAAAACACUGAGCCACCCGGGCUGCCCUGCACUUAAUUUAAUUAGAAGUCUAGACUUUCAAACUCCUACAUUACUGUUGCCAGUUACCAUUGGCCUCACGGAGCUGUGCACCAAAGGGAGUAAUUGCCAUUAAUUGAAUGAUUCUUACUUUUAAAGAUUUUACGUUAUACUCAUUUUAGAGGUGGAGAGCUUGAGGCUCAGAGAGGUUAAGUAGGCCUAAAGCCACACAGCAACCAAAAGGUACUGGCGGGAUUUGAACUUGAGUCCUUUUGACUCCCAAACCCAUGUGGCCCAGCUGCAACAUUCUUUCCCUGGGACUCAAUGGCUAUUGGAAAAGGAAAGCCGGCAUUCUUUCAAACUAUUCCUAUUUCACCCUCAGAUUUAAGACAAAAUUUGAGGAAACAGUGUCUCUCUCAAGCAGCAUAUGCUGGGAGCCAUAUAUUUGCCAAAAUUAUGAACACAGUAAGAGAAUAAAAGAAGAAUUUGAGAGGCAAAAAAAGUCCUCAGGGUCAAGUCUAUGGCAUCACACCCUGAGAAAUUCUUGCCUGUGUGGGCUCCUCACUCGAGUGUGUGUGGAGGGGGAGCAGCCAGUGCAGCUGGGCCUGGGCCAGGUGCCUCAGGGAUGCUCAGCGUCCUACAGCCACAGGUACCUUGGAAGUACUGCUUGUGUGCAGAGCAUUGUGCUGGGCUCCAGAGUGAAACACGGAGGGACUAGGAAGCCAUCUACUCCCCUAAGUGUUUAGAAUCUAGUGGAGCCUCUGUGGCCUAGUCAUCCAGACCAAGACUGAGGGGGUCUGGAAAGCUGGGACCAUCACAGAGACAUUUAGAGAGGCGUCUUCACAGAAAGAACCCCAUCCUCCACCUCUUCUCUGUCCCUCCUGUCCAGCAGGGUCGCUUUUAACCAGCCAGGUGUCUGUGGGAGACCUUUCCCGAGGCACAGUCACGGAGGCUCCUCAGAUUAAGGCAUCAGGGACAAGGCCUCCAGGCCCUACUGUUGCUGGGGCAACGGUGAGUCAGGCCAAGGCCUCUCCAGCUUUGGGAAGCCAUUUGGCUACUGAAGCCUCUCACUGCUUCCCAGGCAUAGUGGGAACUUGUAGAUUUAAAUUUUUAAUAAAUCAGUUCUGCACUCCCCAUUUCUAGUCGAGUUCCUUGACA